AAGAAACGUAUGAUUUUUCGCAGUUUUAAAAGCAAGGAAAUCAGUCGGAAGUUUAGUACGUCUCCAUUUUCUUUCUGCUUUCCUUCUCAAACGCUUUGCACAUUUAAUCUCAUCAUAUCUUAAUAUAUUGCUAGCCUCUGUUAUGUUGUACAUUUUUUCCAGUAUAAUUUCAUUUUAUUUACUUUGAUAAAAAUAUUUUAAUGGUAUUUGCCAUCGUUUAGAAAUAAAACUUGUUUAAUGCGACGUCCGCGUCGUAAGUUCGCGUUGUAGAUCU